UGAUAUUCCAAUUCAUUCUUCAUGUUUGGAAAAUUUUCUGAUAUUAUUUCAUUGAAUAGAUUGUUCAUUCCUUUGAUUUGGAACCCUAUGCCUUCUUCUAUCCCAAUAACUCCUAAAUUUGGUCUUUUUAUGUUAUCCCAUAAUUGUUGAAUGUUCUGCUCAUGGUUUCUUACCAUUUUAAGUGUGUGGUCAACAUUCUUUUUAAGGUUAUAUAUUUUGUCUUUAUUGACUGAUGUUCUGUCUUCCAAAUAAUGUAAUCUGUUUUUGGCUUUCUCUAUUGAGUUUUUAAUUUGGUUUACUGUUUCUUUCAUUUCAAGGAUUUCUGUUUGGUUUUUUGUCAGAAUCUCUGUCUCCCUACUGGAGUAAUUUUUUGCUUUCUGUGUUUGCUUAUGUAGCUGUUUAUUGAAAUGAUCUUUAGCUGCCUAUAUUUUCUCUUAUAUCAUCCUUUAAUUCACAGAACAUUUUAAUUAUGUACAUUCUGAACUCCUUCUCUGUCAUUUCUUCUGUUUUUCUGACCAUGAAUUCUAAUAAUGUAAUCUCUUGGUUUGUUUGGGACACUUUCUUUCCUUGUUUAUUUCAUGUUGUUCCUGUGUUUUCCCUUCUAGCACUGUGGAUCUCUGAGGCAUUAGAGCUUUUACCCUAUAGGCUUAUAGUGUCCCUGCAGGUUCCAAUACCUCACCUUUAAGGGGUAGAACAAUAUUAACAGAUCCCAAUCAAACAAUAUACAGCCUUAAACCAAAUAGCUGUUAUUAAGACGUUUAUGGUUUUGUCACAAUAUAUAGCAAUGGUGAGUUCAGUUAUUAUCUACACUAUUAACAGUUAGUUUGCAAAAGGGUCUACAGUUUCUGAUUGUGGACAAAGAGAGAACCGGGGAUGGGGUGUAGGAUGAGAUGUUGAGGGGAUAGGAAGGGAGGAUAUAGAAUUAUUAGAUCUUAGGAAACGUGAAAGAAGAAUCUAAAGAAGUUGGUUAGUAGCAGGAGAAGAGAGAGAAAGUGAUUUUGGGGAAACACAAAUAAGUGGGAAGACAAUAGAGAGAGUACAAAAAACCAAAUAUUCAGAAACAUGAAAUAUGUAAAAAUAGGAGAUAAAAGAAUAUACAACAUAACUGUAAUAUACUAUUCAGACAUCCCAAUCCUCAGUAGCCUAGUUCAUGGAAAGUACUUGGUUUCACAAAUGUUGGGGAUGUUUUAAGGCAGAAGAAGAGAGAGAGAGAAAAAAGAGAAAAAAAAAAUCUCGAAGAAAGAUAACAAGAAUUGUUUUUGUUGGAGAUCAGUAUCUUUCCUGCUUUGCUUCUCAUCCAAAUAGGUGGGUUUGUCUGUUGUUUGCUGGUAUCUUCACCCUCAGCAUGGUGAAGAUUAUUAGGGUGGGAGGGUUGGUCUUGGAGAUGGAGCUCCUGGAGGUGGGAUAUAGCACUUGCAUUCCCCGAUGGGAGACUGUACCCAAAGGAUCUCCUUUGGGGCCCACCCGUGUGAUGUGAGCGCUGGUCUUAUCUCCUUAUAUCGCCUGUAGACCUCACAAUUCCUGGUCUCUAAUUUAGUCUCUAAACUGUAUCUCACCCCCUCCCUUCCUACUUCCCAGUCAGAAAUCUCUCUGGAGGUCUUGUGGGCUGUGCACUGGGGGCUAAGCACCUGCCGACAGGUGUUUUAUAUUGGGCAGUUCAGGGCCAGGCUUUGUAAGCUAUGGACUGGCUAUGCGUAGCUGCAAGCAUUGUGCCAGGUUAGCUGCUGCAGGGGAGAGGAGGGAGUUGGGGACUAUAGGUACCUUGAUAUUUCUUCUAAGCCCCAGCCAAAAACAGAUU
rnacentral:lncRNA from 1 species